UACGAAGGGGGCUAGCGUUGUUCGGAAUCACUGGGCGUAAAGCGCGCGCAGGCGGAUUGAUAAGUCAGGGGUGAAAUCCCGGAGCUCAACUUCGGAAUUGCCUUUGAUACUGUUAAUCUCGAGUCCGGGAGAGGUGAGUGGAAUUCCUAGUGUAGAGGUGAAAUUCGUAGAUAUUAGGAAGAACACCAGUGGCGAAGGCGGCUCACUGGCCCGGUACUGACGCUCAUGUGCGAAAGCGUGGGGAGCAAACAGG
rnacentral:rRNA from 1 species